rnacentral:rRNA from 1 species
ACUCCUACGGGAGGCAGCAGUAGGGAAUCUUCCGCAAUGGGCGAAAGCCUGACGGAGCAACGCCGCGUGAGUGAAGAAGGAUUUCGGUUCGUAAAGCUCUGUUGUUAGGGAAGAAUGAUUGUGUAGUAACUAUACACAGUAGAGACGGUACCUAACCAGAAAGCCACGGCUAACUACGUGCCAGCAGCCGCGGUAAUACGUAGGUGGCAAGCGUUGUCCGGAAUUAUUGGGCGUAAAGCGCGCGCAGGUGGUUUAAUAAGUCUGAUGUGAAAGCCCACGGCUCAACCGUGGAGGGUCAUUGGAAACUGUUAAACUUGAGUGCAGGAGAGAAAAGUGGAAUUCCUAGUGUAGCGGUGAAAUGCGUAGAGAUUAGGAGGAACACCAGUGGCGAAGGCGGCUUUUGGCCUGUAACUGACACUGAGGCGCGAAAGCGUGGGGAGCAAACAGGAUUAGAUACCCUGGUAGGCUCU